GAUGAACGCUGGCGGCGUGCUUAACACAUGCAAGUCGAGCGAGUGAGUUCUUCGGAACGAUCUAGCGGCGGACGGGUGAGUAACACGUGGGCAACCUGCCUCAUAGAGGGGAAUAGCCUCCCGAAAGGGAGAUUAAUACCGCAUAAAAUUAUCGAGUGGCAUCACAUGAUAAUCAAAGGAGUAAUCCGCUAUGAGAUGGGCCCGCGGCGCAUUAGCUAGUUGGUGAGGUAAAGGCUCACCAAGGCGACGAUGCGUAGCCGACCUGAGAGGGUGAUCGGCCACAUUGGGACUGAGACACGGCCCAGACUCCUACGGGAGGCAGCAGUGGGGAAUAUUGCACAAUGGGAGAAACCCUGAUGCAGCAACGCCGCGUGAGUGAUGAAGGUCUUCGGAUUGUAAAGCUCUGUCUUUGGGGACGAUAAUGACGGUACCCAAGGAGGAAGCCACGGCUAACUACGUGCCAGCAGCCGCCGUAA
rnacentral:rRNA from 1 species